AUACGGCCAUAUUACUUUGAAAUACCUGCACUCGUACGAUCACCGAAGUUAAGCAACGUCGAGCCUGGUCAAUACCUAGAUGGGUGUCUGCUUGGGAAUACCAGGUGAUGU